UAUCAUGGGGGACGCGGUGGCCGUCGUGGUGGUCGGGGAGGAGGGCGCUAUGGCGGUCGGUACAACAAUGGCGGUGGCGAAACUUUUUUGAGUGGAAGUCAACAACAACAACACAAUCAGCGAUAGGGUAAUUGGGUGUAGACCUAUGCCCCUCAACCACAUCACAUAUUAAAUCAGCAAGGCCUCCUGCCAAGCCUAGGUGUUUUUCAGAAUCACGAAAAUGGGCCCAGAACACAUCCAGCUCAACAGAACAAUAACCAACAACAUCAGUUUUUUUUCACAAGCCCAACAGCCUUUUUCUCACCAGCAAGCAUAUCAAGUUCAACAGCAAAAUACCGAGCACACUGCACUUCCACAAAUGUUCAAUACUAUGACAUUAAAUGAUCCGGGCUUAGCUGAAUGGUACAUGGACACUGGUGCAACCUCGCAUCUUCACUCAAAUGCAGGAUUUUCGCACCAAACAAAUUCUAAUCCGAUGUGAUAGCCACGGUGAUCUAUUUCCCGUCACUUCUCCAAAAAAUCAAGCCCUCGUUUCUGUUGCUCCAUCCAUUUGGCAUCAACAUCUUGGCCACCCCGGUCACCACAUUUUCAAGCAUUUAGUUCACAAUCGCUAUAUUUCGUGUUCAUCUAAUAAAACCUAUACUUUAUGUUAUGCAUGUCAACUGGGCAAACAUGUUAAAUUGCCUUUUAGUUCAUCUAUUUCUGUUUCUCAUUUUCCUUUUGAAUUAAUACACUCUGAUGUUUGGACUUCUCCUAUUGAAAGUUUGAGUGGUAUUAAAUAUUAUGUCAUAUUUUUGGAUGA